rnacentral:rRNA from 1 species
GAUGAACGCUGGCGGCGUGCCUAAUACAUGCAAGUCGAGCGAACAGACGAGGAGCUUGCUCCUCUGAUGUUAGCGGCGGACGGGUGAGUAACACGUGGAUAACCUACCUAUAAGACUGGGAUAACUUCGGGAAACCGUAGCUAAUACCGGAUAACAUGUUGAACCGCAUGGUUCAACAGUGAAAGACGGUCUUGCUGUCACUUAUAGAUGGAUCCGCGCCGCAUUAGCUAGUUGGUAAGGUAACGGCUUACCAAGGCAACGAUGCGUAGCCGACCUGAGAGGGUGAUCGGCCACACUGGAACUGAGACACGGUCCAGACUCCUACGGGAGGCAGCAGUAGGGAAUCUUACGCAAUGGGCGAAAGCCUGACGGAGCAACGCCGCGUGAGUGAAGAAGGUCUUCGGAUCGUAAAACUCUGUUAUUAGGGAAGAACAAAUGUGUAAGUAACUAUGCACGUCUUGACGGUACCUAAUCAGAAAGCCACGGCUAACUACGUG